UACGGAGGGUGCAAGCGUUACCCGGAAUCACUGGGCGUAAAGGGCGUGUAGGCGGUCUGAUAAGUCUGGCUUUAAAGAUCGAGGCUCAACCUCGGGAAUGGGCUGGAUACUGUUGGACUAGAUGUUUGGAGAGGUAAGUGGAAUUUCGGGUGUAGCGGUGGAAUGCGUAGAUACCCGAAGGAACACCCAUGGCGAAGGCAGCUUACUGGACAAAACAUGACGCUGAGGCGCGAAAGUGUGGGGAGCAAACCGG
rnacentral:rRNA from 1 species